ACCAGACUCCUACGGGAGGCAGCAGUGGGGAAUAUUGGAGAAUGGGGGGAACCCUGAUCCAGCGACGCCACGUGAGUGAAGAAGUAUUUCGGUAUGUAAAGCUCUAUCAGCAGGGAAGAAAGAAAUGACGGUACCUGACUAAGAAGCCCCGGCUAACUACGUGCCAGCAGCCGCGGUAAUACGUAGGGGGCAAGCGUUAUCCGGAUUUACUGGGUGUAAAGGGGGCGCAGACGGCAGCGCAAGCCAGGAGUGAAAGCCCGGGGCCCAACCCCGGGACUGCUCUUGGAACUGCGCGGCUGGAGUGCAGGAGGGGCAGGCGGAAUUCCUGGUGUAGCGGUGAAAUGCGUAGAUAUCAGGAGGAACACCGGUGGCGAAGGCGGCCUGCUGGACUGCGACUGACGUUGAGCCCCGAAAGCGUGGGGAGCAAACAGGAUUAGAUACCCUAGUAC
rnacentral:rRNA from 1 species